UCAAAUUUCAGAAUAAUAAAGUUGAGGGCCCCUUCUACAGAGCCAUGCGCACUCUCUUCUUCAAACUAUCCCUCAAGAUUUCAGUAAGCUUUCCCCACACACAUUCAAAUAUUUUUGCAGCUUAAAGAAACAUUAAAGUAAAUGCUGAACUUCUCAAGCAGCUCAAGACAUUUCUUGGCACUCCCGGAUAAUUACAGUUUACACACAGGCUUGCCCUUGCAUUACACUCAGUUGUGACAAUAGCCACAGUAAACUGUUCUGUCUUUCAUAAGGACAGAGAGUGGGAUGGCGUGUGGCGUAUUUGGAGGCUGGGGCUAGAAAAGAGGAUGUCAGUCACUUCUGGGCCAUGAAGAGAGGGGAUAUUAAAUAGGCUUUGUACUGCAGUGUUGAUUUUUAUGUUGACAGGAUCCCUGAGGAAUUCGGAGUCAGAAGGGCACUUCUGGCCUAGUUUCAGCUUGACAAGACUUACAGCUGUUUGGGGAGUGCAAAGGAGUCACGAAGAUUCCCAGACUUUGACUUAGGUGUCUCGGUAUCCAUGCUGGAUCCACCUUGUUGGGUCUACCGCAAGUCUUUAUGGCCUCCAUAAGAACUGUGGGAUUUUCUCUGUAUGCAAACAGAUUCAUUUAUAAGCCACGCCAUACAUUUUACUCUAACUGUAUAAAUCACUAAGCACGAUCUACUGGUUGAGGACAUUGUGAGUACAACCGCCAGCAAUUAUCCAUUGAGUUUGUGGAUUCUGGGAUAUCUGCAGGGGUUGAAAAACCAUUGUUGAUCUGUGCUAGAUUAAGUGAGUUUCCCUAACUGUCUGGGGAAGCUGUCAAUUCCUUCCUUGGUCAAUUGUUGGGAAUUAAGGAAUUGCUGUAGGCAAUUGACAUGAUGGUUCCUAGGUAUCUUCUCCACCAGCAUGUGAAAGUGGGUAUCUCUUAGUUUGCUGAGGAGUUCCAGGUGCUGACACUAGACAGAACAUUAUUAGGGAGCAGAUGGUGCAAAAUGUGGGUCAAAUCAGAACACACAUAACAUAGAACCUGCUUCAAAAAGAGGCUGCCAGCCUAGGGUAGCAGGGAUGCCAAUAAUAGUAAGCUGCUUCAGAGGUGGUCUUGGAUAAGAUGGUAGACAAUUUUUGAUGGAGAAAGAGAAGCUCCAGGUUCUAUUCUGUGGUGGCUGACUCACUGCAGAGAGGACCAGCACAUAUACGUCCAGUCUUGCCAAAUUAGGAUGGCUAACUAUUUUUUACUGUUCUUCACUCCUGUGUUUUAACAAUAGAAAUUAAGUAGGCGACAAUACUUAUGCCCAUGCCUUUACAGUAGUUUCUAUACAACUCCAGGCAUACUUGGAUGUGACUAAACCACUACAUUCACGUUGAUUGGGGUUUGCACCUGAUUUUGGCACUGCUUUGGUUUUCCUUGAUGAAUGACGUAAGCCAGGAGAAAGACAGGGGAAGUAUGAUCUUGCUGAUUCUGCUAGAUCUUGGCAGCUUUUGAUCUCAUUAACCAUGGUGUCCACCUGGGUAGGCUGACCAGGGUGGGAAUUGGGAGGCACUGUGUUGCAAUGGUUUUUUUCCUACCUGGAUGCCUGUUUUUAGACAUUUCUGACUUCAGAAAUGUCAGCCUGUUCAGGGGAACUAUUGUCUGACACCUUGACAUGUUUUUGCUAAGCAAUCCCAUAGGGUUCUACUUUGUGCCUCUUCUUAUUUAACAUCUACAUGACACUGCUGUAUGAGGUCAUCUAGAGGUUUGGGGUGAGGGGUCCUCAAAAAGUGAAUGGCAUUUAAGGCUUGCUUCUCCUUCUCAUCAGCCUAAGAUGAAGUAGUAUAAAUCAGUGCCUGGCUGUAGUGACGGACAAGAGGACAGACAAGAUAAAGCUAUAAAUGAGCAUAUGCAAUUUUGAUGCAGAUCUGUGCCCUCUUCCUUAGUGAUGCGUUAGUGGCCACCCCACUUGAAGAAGAGAACAUGUCAGAUCAAGACUGCUGGUUAUGUGCAAGCCUCUCUGAAUGGACUCUUGCCAUGUGUCACCUUGAAAGGUCCUCUUUAUCACCCUUUCUACCGUGCAGAUCCCAUUGGCUUACUAUUGAGAAAAAAUCCUCAUUAUAGCUACAGCAAAAGUCCCAUUGCAGAUGCCUCUGACUUCUUUAAGCGAUACUCCUCAACUUAAUCAAAUGUUUGCCAUGUUUUGUGAGCUUUACCUGCUGGGGACUUUUUUGACUGAAACCCUAUGAACCAGGUGUUUCACCUACUCUUGGCGAAGGGAAAAUGAUGGCUCCAUAUCUCCUGGAGGAAAAAUGAUCUCAAAUGGCUCUCUCUGACAAAUGACCUGGGACACCUAGCAAGAUGCUGUUCUCUUGCACCACAUGGCAUAUGAAUGGCUAAUACCCCAUCACCUCCUCACAUUUCUCCAAAUCAAAACUUCCACUGACCUUAAACAGCAACAAGAUUUUGCUCCGUCAUCGAGUAAUGUAUUUCAAGGUCACGUGAGAGUUUGCUAAAUAUAUCCCUAAGUAUUUAUCAUCUUUCUGAUUUCUUUUUUUAAAAAAAUUAUUACUUAGUUGCUGUUGUUUGUAUUGCUGCUGCUGGCUAAAUACCAAACCUCUUAGGGAUAAAAAGAAGAUUAAUGGAGCCCAUUGAAGAAGCUGUACUUCAUUGGCGGGGCCUGAAAUGUUCUCAUGGCACUUAAGAUUUGAACGUUAAGAGCAAGAAAGUUAUAAAUAAAAAUAUGGAAGUAAGAUAAGAGCUGGAUGCCUGAUCAAAAUAUGACUUUAUGUAAUGAAUGAGACUUUUUUUUUUAGCUCAGUCUUGGAAUUUCUUAGAGUGUGAUGGAAGACUAGAACUCAAAGAUAGCCAUAUUAAAAGAGAGUUAUACAAGGCUGAGGCAGUUAUUCGUUCCUGCAGGAGAUGGAGGCUUUUUGAAAGGAAACUGCAUUUUUCAGUCUUUCAGGAAUCACCCUCUCAUCAUGGUGGUGAGGCAGCUGAACAUUACAUUUCUCCUUGCUCAGAAGUGUGUAUGGCUGUGUGUGUGGGUGGGGGGAAUAACCUGUGGCAAAUUGCUUUUUGAGGCUAGGUUUGCGGAUACAAUUCCACCCUACAGAAAUAUGGUUGUUCACAAAAAAAUGGCAGUAGAAAUGAUAUUGCACCAGCUAAUCCAUGAGGAUUCCUCACCUUGCAUAAUGAAUUUAUGCUACUGGUUUUGGGUGAUCUCUUCCAAUGUAUUAACAGUGGAGACAUGUCAUGGAUAUACAAUUUCAAAUGCUUCAAACCCCUGUCUGGAUAUGUUGA